rnacentral:rRNA from 1 species
UACGUAGGGUGCAAGCGUUGUCCGGAAUUAUUGGGCGUAAAGAGCUCGUAGGCGGUUUGUCGCGUCUGCUGUGAAAACCCGAGGCUCAACCUCGGGCCUGCAGUGGGUACGGGCAAACUAGAGUGCGGUAGGGGAGAUUGGAAUUCCUGGUGUAGCGGUGGAAUGCGCAGAUAUCAGGAGGAACACCGAUGGCGAAGGCAGAUCUCUGGGCCGUAACUGACGCUGAGGAGCGAAAGCAUGGGGAGCGAACAGG